rnacentral:pre_miRNA from 13 species
UUUCUUGGCAGUUAUCACGAUCAGCGCUAUCCAGCCGUUGUAAUCAAGAACGGAGGUUGACUACACGUGCACGGAUAACGCUCAUUGUCAUAGGUUGCCAUUUUU